CACGCGCAGAGACUGAUUUCCUUUGCGCUCAAACUCAAUCGUGUUUAUGGGAAUGUGACAUGAAUCUCUCACUCUCUUACAGUGUAUUUUAUGGUUUUCUCCUACAAAACAAAACAGCUAAUUCCUGYAUUCAAAGGAUGCAAUAACACGAAAUAAGAAUGAUCACCUUUGUGUUUAACAUAAAUCAAUAACAUUCUUGUUUAUUUAUUGAAGGAAUGCUACUCAAUCAAAAUAUGACCACGUGACAACUCAUAGGCCGAGUCACUACAAACAGACAAGAUAUUCCUGCAGUAAUGUUACAAACCCCCAAAAAUCUAUUUAUUUUAGUGUUACUCUCAAUGUGUGGCUAGUGUAUGAAGGCUAACUGAGAAUGUCCUGGUCAAAUAAAUAAGAGUCCGAAUGCUUUUAACACUUACGUAUUUGAUCAUUUCUACCGCUGCUAGCCUGGCCUAGUGUAUUUGUCUUUAUGUACUGGAAUCUAAAGUACCCCUGUUCACUCCCCCCCCUGCCUGUGAGACACAGAGAUAACUAUGACACAACCUGCACCGUAAUCACCGCGUUGCCAAGCAAUGUGCACCUGCCCCCGUUGACCUGCCUCUGCCCGCUACACGAGUGCAACACCGAAGCUAGUCUCUGUAUGCAUCCAGACACCGGAGCAGUCGUUACCUCCGGUCUAACAGGGCAUUUCGCUCCCAUGGGAAACCACAGGGUUGUACGACUACGCUCCGUUCAUUACGCGCUAAAGGCCAAGGAAAUUUGGUAUAACUUUGGGAGAUGUCAGAAAGUUCCUCAGGUGUGAACACAAGCAGUGCAGUUUUCCCAAAUCCCACUCCUCCCAGUAUUCUGAAAUCAGCGUCACACACACACCCCUCUCCGUGGACCAGAGUCCAGAUUCCGGAAUCGUCAAAACCCCUCUGCCGUCCAGCCGGUUCAGGUUGUGUCGUGGCAGCGGCUUGAGGAGAGUGAUGUCAAAGGAGACCAGCUCUCCUGUCCCAGGGUCAGAGAA